rnacentral:tRNA from 1 species
GCGAGAGUGGCGGAACUGGUAGACGCACUGGACUUAGGAUCCAGCUCUGCUAAAGAGUGGGAGUUCGAGUCUCCCCUCUCGCACCA